rnacentral:rRNA from 2 species
AUGCAAGUCGAACGAGCUUCCGUUGAAUGACGUGCUUGCACUGAUUUCAACAAUGAAGCGAGUGGCGAACUGGUGAGUAACACGUGGGAAAUCUGCCCAGAAGCAGGGGAUAACACUUGGAAACAGGUGCUAAUACCGUAUAACAACAAAAUCCGCAUGGAUUUUGUUUGAAAGGUGGCUUCGGCUAUCACUUCUGGAUGAUCCCGCGGCGUAUUAGUUAGUUGGUGAGGUAAAGGCCCACCAAGACGAUGAUACGUAGCCGACCUGAGAGGGUAAUCGGCCACAUUGGGACUGAGACACGGCCCAAACUCCUACGGGAGGCAGCAGUAGGGAAUCUUCCACAAUGGACGAAAGUCUGAUGGAGCAAUGCCGCGUGAGUGAAGAAGGGUUUCGGCUCGUAAAACUCUGUUGUUAAAGAAGAACACCUUUGAGAGUAACUGUUCAAGGGUUGACGGUAUUUAACCAGAAAGCCACGGCUAACUACGUGCCAGCAGCCGCGGUAAUACGUAGGUGGCAAGCGUUGUCCGGAUUUAUUGGGCGUAAAGCGAGCGCAGGCGGUUUUUUAAGUCUGAUGUGAAAGCCUUCGGCUUAACCGGAGAAGUGCAUCGGAAACUGGGAGACUUGAGUGCAGAAGAGGACAGUGGAACUCCAUGUGUAGCGGUGGAAUGCGUAGAUAUAUGGAAGAACACCAGUGGCGAAGGCGGCUGUCUAGUCUGUAACUGACGCUGAGGCUCGAAAGCAUGGGUAGCGAACAGGAUUAGAUACCCUGGUAGUCCAUGCCGUAAACGAUGAGUGCUAAGUGUUGGAGGGUUUCCGCCCUUCAGUGCUGCAGCUAACGCAUUAAGCACUCCGCCUGGGGAGUACGACCGCAAGGUUGAAACUCAAAGGAAUUGACGGGGGCCCGCACAAGCGGUGGAGCAUGUGGUUUAAUUCGAAGCUACGCGAAGAACCUUACCAGGUCUUGACAUCUUCUGCCAAUCUU